CUAGGAUUGGCAUAGUUCCACAUUUCAUGCUUUAUCUUGGUUGUUUGGUGUUGCCUACACUUUCCAAAGGAAAUUGACAGAUGACUGAAGUUUAAUGACCUGAAAGAAAUAAUACAAGAUGGGUGCUUCAUGUGGAAAGGUUUACUUAUCCAAGGUUAAAAGGAAGAAGACGUUGCUAGGAUUGACUUAGUUCCACAUUUCAUGCUUUAUCUUGGUUGUUUGGUGUUGCCUACACUUUCCAAAGGAAAUUGACAGAUGACUGAAGUUUAAUGACCUGAAAGAAAUAAUACAAGAUGGGUGCUUCAUGUGGAAAGGUUUACUUAUCCAAGGUUAAAAGGAAGAAGACGUUGCUAGGAUUGGCUUAGUUCCAAAAUUCAUGCUUUAUCUUGGUUGUUUGGUGUUGCCUACACUUUCCAAAGGAAAUUGACAGAUGAGAUGACUG